AGCUUUGCGCAGUGGCAGUAUCGUAGCCAAGGAGGUUUAUCCGAGGCGUGAUUAUUGCUAAUUGAAAAAUGUUUCAACCAGCACUUCAUUACAAACAGGCUUGAAACACAUGAAAAAAAUAGAAAAGCUCAACAAAGA